rnacentral:miRNA from 1 species
CCUCUUUACAUUGUUGUGCUGUA